rnacentral:rRNA from 1 species
UAUAAGACGAGAAGACCCCAUGGAGCUUUAAACCCAACAACACCCGCCCCCCUCCAAAUCCUAUUAUUUACCCGGUGAUUGUUUGUUUGGUUUUAGGUUGGGGUGACCGCGGAGUAUAAGAUAUCCUCCAUGAAAAAAGCUAACUGCCCUUAUUAGAGAAAGACACUUCCAAAAAAUAAUAAAUUAAUUUUAAAUGAUCCGACAUUCGAUCAACGAACCAAGUUACCCUGGGGAUAACAGCGCAAUCCGUCCCGAGAGCCCCUAUCGACAG